CACUUGGGGAGUUUUGUUUUCGAACGGCCGCCUUGCCACUUUGCAUGGCUGUGGUUGAGUUUCGCUGAAGGAACCAAACUCAUCCUUGCGGGUGAGGUGCGUCGUCCCACCCUGACUCUCUUCCCCCCUUCCAAAGAGCAGCUGCAGAAAGACAACGUCACGGCCGUAUGCGUGGCAAAAGGGGGCCUCCCCCAAGCCUGGAUCUUGCGCUUGAGGGUGGGCAGCACCUCCAGUACCUCGCGGGUGUCCGACAGCCCCCUGGGAGUGGCAGGCGGGGACGGCCUUUACAGCUGGACCAGCACUUUGAACCUCCCAGCGGACGAGUGGAGCACGGCCCGAUCGGUGAGCUGCGAGGCCAACCUCGCCGGGCAGCACCCCGUCAAGGUCACCCUGCCGAACCCGGGACGAUGCUUGCAGUAGAGCCCGAGCUCGAACCCGAACCCCAGCCUGCGUCCUUUUCAAGCAUUGUCAAAUAAAGUGUCUCAAUAUCAA